rnacentral:rRNA from 1 species
GUGGGGAAUCUUGCGCAAUGGGCGAAAGCCUGACGCAGCCAUGCCGCGUGAAUGAUGAAGGUCUUAGGAUUGUAAAAUUCUUUCACCGGGGACGAUAAUGACGGUACCCGGAGAAGAAGCUCCGGCUAACUUCGUGCCAGCAGCCGCGGUAAUACGAAGGGGGCUAGCGUUGCUCGGAAUUACUGGGCGUAAAGGGCGCGUAGGCGGACAGCUUAGUCAGAGGUGAAAGCCCAGGGCUCAACCUCGGAACUGCCUUUGAUACUGGGUGUCUUGAGUAUGAGAGAGGUGUGUGGAACUCCGAGUGUAGAGGUGAAAUUCGUAGAUAUUCGGAAGAACACCAGUGGCGAAGGCGACACACUGGCUCAUUACUGACGCUGAGGCGCGAAAGCGUGGGGAGCAAACAGGAUUAGAAACCCCUGUAGUCC